UAGAGAGAGACAUGCGCGCAUAUCAAUAAGCGGAGGAAAAGAAACUAACAAGGAUUCCCUUAGUAACGGCGAGUGAAGCGGGAAGAGCUCAAAUUUGAAAUCUUCAAGGUUCUACCUUGACGAAUUGUAGUUUAUAGAAGUGUUUCUCUGUUAGUGGAGUGGCAAAAAGUUCUUUGGAAUAGGACAUCAUAGAGGGUGAGAAUCCCGUAUUUGGUCAUUCCUCCUAGCGUUGUGAUACACUUUCAACGAGUCGGAUUGUUUGGGAAUGCAGUCCAAAAUGGGUGGUAAAUUUCAUCUAAAGCUAAAUAUUGGCGAGAGACCGAUAGCGAACAAGUACCGUGAGGGAAAGAUGAAAAGAACUUUGAAAAGAGAGUUAAACAGUACGUGAAAUUGUCAAAAGGGAAGCGUUUGACACCAGUGUUGUUUUUCCGAAAAUCAAUUACGAAUGUUUUAGUUUUUGAGGAGUUAUGACUUCAUCGGCUUGCUCCUUUCUUUAUGAAACUUUCUUAAUGCACUUUUCGGUUAACAAGUCAACAUCAAUUUCUUUUGUUGUAAAAGGGUAUGAGGAAGGUGGCUUUCUUUUCGGAGAAAGUGUUUAUAGCCUUGUGCCUCUGCAAUCGGAGAGAUUGAGGUCUGCAGCGUAGAUCCUUCGGGGUUAGAUACAUUUGUGCUAAGUUAUAGCUUUUUCAUAGACAACAUUGUUGACUAUGAUUUAAGUCAUUGUAGCUUACUCGCUUACUGCUAUUUUACCUACGCUUAGGAUGUUGAUAGUCACAGCGUGUAC
rnacentral:rRNA from 1 species